GGAAAACGCAGCAGCACAUCAAAACGCCGGCUCCAAGAAGUGCCCCGAUGGCGCCCCCGAUGGAACUGC
rnacentral:SRP_RNA from 11 species